rnacentral:lncRNA from 1 species
GUGUUGAACUGAAGAGAAGAUGGAGCUUGUACAAUGAUAGGGCAAGCUCUAGAAGAUGUCCAGAAGAGUUCAAUCAAGCUUCAGAAGUGUUCUGAAGUAGUUAUCUUGUGAAGAUAAGUCCAGGAGGGACUUAGACUGAUCAGAAGAAGGGUUUGGAAGAGUUUGAGAGAAGAUGGUCCAAGGUGCAAAGAUAGGGCGUGUGUACGGCCUCGUACGGACAUGGGCAACUAAGAGAAGGUGUGUGGAUCAUCAGAAGAAGGAGGAAGAGUAUUGGGCAAAUAUAGGGCGAGUGGUACGGACAGGAGGUCCGUACCAUCGACCGUACUGCCAAUCAUCUCGCCCACACAUCCGGUUUAAGCAAUGUUGAAGAAGUGCAAAGUCUGGGCGUGUUUAUCUUGGCUAUGAGGACCGUUGGGAGCUACAGGAAACAAAGGGAAUAUCCCUUAGGAUCAGAGUGAUCCAAGAGACAGGCUGGAAAGAGAAAAGCACUUUACCUUUCCAGCCACCUUUCCACACAAGUCCAUCUUAGCCUUUCAUUCAAAAUGGCUCAAUCCCACCUUCCAUUCAGUCAAGGCACGACCACACUUUCCAGCUAGCAUCAAGACCAGUCGACUCUCAUCCUAGCCAUCCAUUCUAUCAUUUAUUUACAACCUUAGGAUGUAGGGUUUAUGAGUGUAAUGUAAAGGCUACUCUCAUCCUAGCCAUCCAUUCUAUCAUUUAUUUACAACCAUAGGAUGUAGGGUUUAUGAGUGUAAUGUAAAGGCAUAUAAAAGCCUUGUAUAUGUGAUUGUAAACAAUUAAGUGAGUAAGGGGGUUUCCCUUCUCCUUCUCUAAUCUGAAACACUUUCUCUUAGUCUCUCUAGUCUCUCAUCCUGAAUCUCUAUACACGCUCUCAGUCUUGUUACUAAUCUCUUAAACACUUAGACACACAAACACUCAUCAAACUUCCUUUCUCUCAAAUCGCUUCCAAGCUCUCUCUCUUUACCCAUUUGGGUUU